rnacentral:sRNA from 1 species
AGCAGCCGCGGUAAUUCCAGCUCCAAUAGCGUAUAUUAAAGUUGUUGCAGUUAAAAAGCUCGUAGUUGAAUUUCGAGAUCAAAUUGUUGGUCGUGCCUUGGUACGCACUGGCAUUAUUGGUUUCUCCCUUCUGACGAACCAUGAUGUCAUUAAUUUGGUGUCUUGGGGAAUCAGGACUGUUACUUUGAAAAAUUAGAGUGUUUAAAGCAGGCUCACGCUUGAAUACAUUAGCAUGGAAUAAUGAAAUAGGACGUUUGAUUCUAUUUUGUUGGUUUCUAGGAUCGACGUAAUGAUUAAUAGGGAUAGUUGGGGGCAUUAGUAUUCAAUUGUCAGAGGUGAAAUUCUUGGAUUUAUUGAAGACUAACUACUGCGAAAGCAUUUGCCAAGGAUGUUUUCAUUAAUCAAGAACGAAAGUUAGGGGAUCGAAGACGAUCAGAUACCGUCGUAGUCUUAACCAUAAACUAUGCCGACUAGGGAUCGGAUGAUGUUAAUUUUUAAUGACUCAUUC